AUUUCCGCUGCUACAACAAGGAGUUGCCCCGCGUGUACGGGGAAUGCGUACUUGCGCACCAUGCAGUUAUGUGCGCUCCUGAUCAUAUGUAUAGUAUAUUGUACAAUAAAUGCUAUAAUAUUUAAGUCGUAUCGUUUGCUGUUUUUUAAUAUUUUAAUCAUCAUUUUCUUCGUUCAUUCCUGACGACAAUUGGGGCAGAGACUGUCAUACGCUCUCGGUAACACUCACAACCAGAUGUAGCACAACAGUGAAACAUUUACAAAUGUGACAAAAGGUCUUCUGUGUGUCCAUUAAUUCAUACAUAGAGUUUUAAUCCCGUUUCAUGAAAAGCUGUAGUUAUGUUGCCCCUGACAAUUCCAAAAUUCUUUUUGCAGCAAACUGACAAACCGAAUAAGCCCAGGACACUGGAAAAUGCUUGAAAAACAUGGAUGUUCCUCAACAGAUUGGUUCUGUGGACUGUGGCGCGUUCAUGUUGAUUGUUGUCACGUCACGGAUCGGGGAAGCAGGAGCAGGAAGAUGGAGAAUCAGGAAACCAGCUAGGAACACAGGACAAUAGAAGUAGGGACUUAAAUGACUGGACGGGUAAAAUAUAUUUUGACGCGGAGUUAAAUACGUAGAACUAAUGAAAACAACUGGAAACAGCGAAUGACAUGGAGAUUCCACACGAGGUUAACGAGGGGGCGUGGCACACGGGAGGAUCGGACGAGCGCGCGUGACAAUUUGAGUUGGAGGGAUUUGACAAAAGCAUCCUUUUAGAAAUGCGUGAGGAAGGUCAAGACUCUGGUCUCCAGCUCACCGCUCUCUGUUACAUCUCCAUGGCCAUUUUGUCUGAUAGUAUCAUUCGAUUUUUCUAUGCUAUAGUUUUUUUAUUUUAAUCAUUGCACGGUAUAUAAAUUAUUAUAAAUAAUAGUUUAUUUUCCUCGUGAUGUAUGUGUGCCUAAAAGUAUUAAAUAGAAGUAAAAGUUUCCUCAGUAAUGUAUUUCAUGAACUGAUAUUUUCCCAACAAAACCCAUGUUUGCAUUCAAGUCUCUGUCACAGUUUGUACAUAAUAUUUACAACAACCAUUAUGAAAAUUUUGCAGAAUAUGUACUACAAGCCUCUCCAGUUGCAGCCACACCCAUAUCCAAACUCACAUAUAAGGUAUAUUUGUAUAUUGUUUCCAAGGUACCAGCAUUCCUACAGAACCAUGUUACAUAAUAUAUCAACAUAUAGGCAAUUUCAGUGUGAGUCCUGAUGCAUUAUGCAUACUGCUUUCAAAUCUGUCAUCAGAGCAUUGACUGUAAAAAACAUGGAGACCAAAAUGUCUCUAAAAGGUGAAAACGCAACAUGUCAAGCGCCCCCUACUGGCUGGCUGCAGUACUAUUAUUAGCACCACCCAUACCAAUGUGUUUCAGUGGUAAGAGGCGAUUUUCCACAUUACUUUCAUGU